rnacentral:tRNA from 2 species
GGAGAGGUGUAGGAGUGGCUGAACUAGCACGCCUGGAAAGCGUGUGUUCCCCAAAAGGGAACCGGGGGUUCGAAUCCCCCUCUCUCCG